UGCCUAAUGCGGGAAUCGAACCCGGGUCGUAGUGGUUGAAAACCAACGGUUUAAACCACCCACCUAAUAU